ACACCGAACAAGGCGGGGGGCCGUCCCGGGGCCGCCGUUGCAGGGCCGGCGCUGCGGGGGCGGGACGUGGGGCGGGCAACCGCACGGGGGCCACGGGGGUGGGGGUGCCUCUCCAGCCCCCGGGCCCCCGGGGUGGCCCCGCCCGGUGCUGGCGCAGCUGCACGCCGGCCUCGCCUUAAGGAGAGUCCCCACCAGGCUUCCCAAGAGGCGGCCGACCCCAUCGUCUCUGCCUGGGCCUUUCGCAUUACCGUUGAUUCAGCAAGGAGAACUCCCGGUGUCGCCGCGGGGUCCCCGAGGCAAUCGCCUACCGGGCACCCCAAGCCUCCUGGGACUACUCGCGGAGGACCAGCACCCACCUCUGCAAGAAGUCACGGAGGGGAACGAACCAAGCUUGAAGGCACUGGGCAGAAGCCAGUGCCUAUGGACAGUUAGCGGAUGUUCGACCAACUGGCCAAUGGGGGCCCCCCAAAGAUAACCAUCGCUUGCCUUAUGUCACACGAGCAAGCUAACCUAAACUCAAUGUGUGAGAUGAGAAGAAAGAGAAGGAUGAGCAGACACGAGCAGUAAGAAUUUUGAAAAGCGAUCGAAUUUGGCUUCUGAUCAAUACAGAUCAGUUGAGGGAAGACGUGUGGCAGAAACCCAAAGCAAAUUUGGGAAAAUCAGGAGCACAGGUAGGUUGUGACAUAAUAAAUUGCCUUGGAUGUAAGACAGAAGCUUCAUAAAAGAAAGCAAAAGGCAGCAAAGAUAAUCGCCUACGAGAAAGUUACCACAGCAGAGGCAUGCUUGGGGAGACCCAGGGAGAAAGAAGGGCCACAGACACCAUCAGCAGCAAAGCGGUAAGGUUGUAUCGGCUGGCAGCUCCCCCUUCGCGAACUUUAUAAAAGCACUUACAAGUGCUUUCUGAUUCCUGAUUCGAUUGUAUGAUUUCAAUACGUCACCCAUCUGAUCAUUACUGAGGACUGUUCCAUGUGACCUUCCUCCACAGACUAUAAGGGGCUAGUAAGGAGGUAAGACCGUACUUUACGGUGCCAGGAAGUGCCCAGAAGGGAGAGAGAGCUCACCUCCACCUGAAGGAGUAGGUCUUUAUUUCUUAACAAAAAUUAAUUUGCUAAUACCCAAAUAUCUACAUUUUGAGAAAAAUUUAGUUGCGGCCAUUUCUUGAUUUGCAGAUUUGGGGAGCAAAUCCAGGGAAGAGGAAGCAUACUUUCAUUAUUUUUUUAAACGUUUAUGACACAUUUCAAACAAACGCAAGAGCAGAGAAACUAAACGAAAUUAAACGAUGAACCCACAAUUGUCAGUUUUUUCCCAACCCUUCUCAGCAACUUUUCGGAGUGUUUUAAAGCAAACCUCACAUAUGCUGUUUCGUGCAAAAACUAUUUGACUAUGUACCCAUAACAAACAAGGGCUUCAAAAUAACUACACUAUCGUUAUCCCUACUAACAAAACGAACAACAAUUCCUUCACUGAAUUCUCAGUCCAUGUGAAAAUCUCCCCGCCUGUCUCCUAACGAUCUUUUUAUACUGCUUUGCCGGUAUCAGGAUCCAAACAAGGUGUUCGCGCUGCGUUUACUGAACGUGAAUUUGGAUUCAACCCAGUCUAUCCAUUUGGGUGAUACCUACCAGAGAUCAUGCAUUCAACACAUGGGCUCAUGGAGCUGGCUGUCGUCCCAGCACUUAGAAGGGCCACAGACCUGGACCCAGCACUGGCCCACUCUUAAGGCAGUGGAGGGGCCAGCAUCUGGCACAGAGGAAGAAAAAAGUGCAGAGGCCAGAAAGGCAGAGAUGCGGGACCCUGGUCUAUCACGGACUCCCCACCCCCCGGGCCGGGUCUCCCAAACCAGGUGAUGGGAGUGGCAGCAACUUUUCUAAGCACUGUACUGCUCAUCUGCCUAGGCGAGGGAAGUCGGCGAGAGAGGCCUCUGUUGCACGGAAGCCCGGGACCCCCAUGGAGCUUCGCCUGUCAAAACUGAAUUUAUUCCCCCAAGAGAGAAGUCCUUCCACCAGAGCUCGCAGGCCUGGCCCCACUGGAUUAGAACCAAGGCCGGCCAUUUUUGCCGCCCUGUGCACUGGGGAAAAUGAGCACCCAAGAUAGACAUGGACGUCUUUUGUGGUCACUGCCACCACUGUUUCCCAACUGGACUUAUGCAACAGUGUCCAAACCAGUCUCCCCUCCUCUGCCUUUUCUCCCCCACACUGUCCUUCCUCUCUAAAGCUUAAAUCAGUGCCUUUCACUCCCCGGCUGGCAACGGCUUCCGGUUUCACUUCGAAUAAUGCCAAGUCCUACCCAAGACCUGCAGUGCCCUUUCUGUCCGGCCGCAGCCUCCCCACCAGACUGCAACGCCCUCUUCUGCCCUUGUGUCUUGAACUCCGGUCACGCUGGCCCUCUCGCGGAACCUCAGACACAUCAAGUUCCAGUCUAACGUUGGGCCCCUGAUGUUCCUUCCACUGGGACUUCUCCUCCCUCAGAUCUUUGGCUCUCACUCACCUUUAAAGCCUCCACUCCAGUGUCACCUCCUUAGGGACACUAGGUCACCCUCUGCUGUGCCCGUUGCCACACUCUCUGCUGUAUCACCCACGUUCUUCUCUCGGGAGCCAUCAUUACGGCCUGAGAUCAUGCUCUUUACUGACUUACUGAAUUGGUUUCAAUACUGGAAUGUGAAGUUUGUGAUGCUUUAUCCUCUGCUGUAUUUCCAAAUGGUAAAACCAGUGCCUGGAAGGCUCAGGUUGGUGCUCCACACAUUUUUUUUUUCUUUAUAGAUGGGCUGCUUUUUUGACUAAGGGAGGCAAAUAAGUAAGACUACUGCGACUCUAAGCGAGCAGAACCACUAAGAGCCCCACACGACGGAGUGAAGGUCUGGGCCACCUCAGCUGGCAAAGAACACUACCAGGUAAGGUACUGGGCAGGGGCCAGGGGAGCAUGCAACAGCAAUGAGAUGAGCAAAGUCAAAAACAGCAGGUAUGACCUUGCAACCAGAAGCAGGAGGGAUUUCCUUUUGUGGUACCAUGUAUAUAUACAUAAUAUUUAUUUUCUAUUUCCUUUCCUCCCCGCCCCCACCUCUUUCCAUUAUGAUUAUGGCAUGUUGCUUAAAUUUACCUCUGGGUUUACGGAGUGGAAAAGGCAUUGCAGAACUGCAGAAGAAACGGAUAUGACUUGGGGAGGGGGGCCUAGACUUGGACAUGUUUGCAGUAACUGACAAGCUUUUGAGUUGUCUCCCUCUAGGGAAAGACUCAGCGGGGGCUGAAUUAUGCAUCAUGUUAGAAUGACAUUUUUUUAGACAUGACUACCCUCCACGUGUCCUCAGUUUUCUUUAUAAUACUGCCUGCCGUAUUACAGAGUCAUUUGUUAACUCAUUAUCCCCUCACCAGAGUGUAAGUGAUUUAAGGGCUUUUGCUCACUCCUGUAAUCUGGCACAUGGGAAGCACUCAACAGCUACUGAAUAUAUGAAUGAAUGAAUGAAUGAAUGAAUGAAUGAAUGAAGAGAGAACCUGUUCAGGAUCUAUUUCUAUUUGUUUUUUUUUUUUAAUGUUUGUUUAUUUAUUUUGAGAGAGAGAAUCCCACACAAGUGACAUGGGGAUCCAUCUCACGAACAGCGAGAUCAUGAGCUGGGCUGAAAUCAAGAGUCGGAUGCUUCCCCGACUGAGCAACCCAGACACCCCUAUUUCUAACACUACUUGGACUUCCUCUAAGGGAAUGACCUCCCUUCCAUUGUGUUCAGCUUCGGUGACAGGGACCCAGGUACCUGCCUCCUAAUAUGGAAGGCAAAGGGUCUCUGGAGGCACCCAGACCUUGUGCUUGUCCCAGCGGCACCAGGUGGCAGACACACCACCUAAGCUUCAAGAAUCGAUUUCUCGGGGCACCUGGGUGGCUCAGUCGGUCAAGCGUCCAACUUUAGCUCAGGUCAUGAUCUCGCGGUUCAUGGUUUUGAAUCCCACAUCAGGCUCUGUGCUGAUGGCUCAGAGCCUGGAGCCUGCUUUGGAUUCUGUGUCUCCCUCUCUCUCUGCCCCUCCCCUACUUGUGCUCUGUCCCUCAAAAAUAAAUAAUAACCAUUAAAAAUUUUUUUAAAAAAGAAAGAAAGAAAAAAUAAUUGAUUUCUCUAUCCUGGGACUUUGACUCUUGAGUGACUAAAGGGCAGGAGGAAUGGUUCUUCACUCAUUCCCAGGGGUGGCAUUAUACCUUCCUACUACACGCCUUUCUUGGCUUCUUGCAUGUGGUUCCUUGCUUCCCAGGAACAACCCUGACUGCCAUCCAUUUCCCAGACUGGUCCUCUAGCCAUUUUCAACUCUGGGUACACCUAACAUCCUUCCAAUAAAUUCUCU